CAACCCCUAAGCACAGCUUAUUGUUGGGCGUCUACGUCUGUAGUGCCUCAAAGACAUUGGCGGAGCGGCAGCAGUCCUCUGAGCGUAGUAAUUCUUUAUCUCGCUUCUGUUAGGCGCUGCCCCCCCGGCCGUAAAACCCCCAAUUUUUUCU
rnacentral:misc_RNA from 1 species